rnacentral:lncRNA from 1 species
ACUUAUCACUGCUGAUGUUAACCUUGAUCUCUUGGUUCAGGUGGUGCCUGCCAGCUGUCUCCACUGUGGAGUUACUAUUUUUCCUUUUCCCCAUUUUAUUCAUCAGAAGCCAGUCACUAAGUGAGGUCAAACUCCAGGACAGGGGAAUUAAGUGCCACCUCCUGGAGAGGGAGCAUUCACAUUUAUUACUUGGGAUCCUUCUGUAAGGAAGAGCUGUUUCUCCUCUAAAAAACUCUUUAAUCCUUUUAAGCCUCAAUUUCUUAAUUGUGAAAUGGGGCUAAUACCUGUAUCCAACCAAGGGAGUAGUUAGAAGGUAACGUGAUAGGUGGAAAGCACUUAACAUAGGCAAAAUGUUAUGAUCAGGAAUGAUCAAGAGACCCAUCCAACUAUCUGAAGGAGUCACUUAACUCUACUGUACUGCAGCGCUGUAAGGUCUGCAUCUUUCACUGGGGGUAAAGGCCCCCAGUCCCUGAGAUGGGCCAGUUUGGAGACAGGCUGGUUUUUUCUCUGUUCUCCUGAGAGCCCUUCAGAUGAGAAGGGAGGUCUGGAGACAGAAUGCCAAAGGCCCAUUAAAGGCACGGCCUUGCAUUUCAGAGAGGGAGCAGGUCUAGAGAAGAACCAGAGGAGCUCAGCUGAGAUAUGGUGUAUGGAUUGGAUUUUGGUAGAAGAUGGGAAGAACCAAACACCUGAGAAACCACUUUGAAGAUCAGGGUCAGAGUAAGGCCUAACACAUAGUUGGCUCCCAGUAAUUAUUGGUUGAUUGAAUGGCUCAAAGAGCAACUCGACCAAGAACACUGGACUGGGAGUCCAGUUACUUGGAUCUUGCAUUCCUGAUUUAUUUUUAUUUUAUAUGUAUUUUUUUAUUUUUUUGAGACGGAGUCUCACUCACUCUGUCGCCCAGGCUGUACUACAAUGGCACGAUCUCGGCUCACUGCAAACUCUGCCUCACAGGUUCAAGCGAUUCUCCUGCCUCAGCCUCUCGAGUAGCUGGGAUUACAGGCAUGCACCACCAUGCUGGCUAAUUUUUGUAUUUUUAGUAGAGACGGGGUUUUGCCAUGUUGGCCAUGCUGGUGUCGACCUCCUGACCUCAGUUGAUCUUCCUGCCUCAGCCUUCCAAAAUGUUGGGAUUACAGGCGUGAGCCACCGUGCCUGGCCGUGAUUUAUUUUUUUUGUGUAUGUUUGUUUGUUUUUGUCAACUUGCUGUGUGACCUUAAGCAAGUUACUUAACUUCUCUGGGCUUCACUUUCCAUGGAUGAACAUUGUAAAGAGGCUGGAGAGAGAUGAGGACUAGGUACAGGCCUUAGAGGAGAGCCACCGCCCCGGACUUCUCCCUCUGUCACCCCGCUUUCCAUGACCCUCCUUGCCUGACUUUGUGACUCCUUGCCUCGCUAUCAAAACAAGUGCUGCAAUCUCAGUGCUUUCCAAGAGCCCGGCAUUGUUAGAAACUUCCCGGCACGCAGCAAAGGCUGCUGCGAUACUCGCUCUGCCUGCCUUUGCCCUGCGCUUCCUACAUACCCUCCUUUUGUUUCUCCUAAACAUCUGUCCCUGACUAUGCUCGUCUCAUGUUUGUCCUCAGCUGCUGAAAGGGCCACGUUUGUUUUCAUUACAAAUAAGACCACCGAGUGGGCUCCUGGCGUGGGGGCGGGAGCAGCCGCGCGCAGUCUUCAGAGGCAGCCCCCUAGGCUCUCUCUGGAGGGUGUGUCUCUGCUUCCCUUUCCCCGUGUUUAUUUUUAGACGAAGCCAAGUGGCCCGGGGGGACCCUCCGGACUCCCAGCUUUCGGAGGGGAGGGCAGCUCGGGCUUUCGCCCCAGUGCUUCCUGCCCGUCACGUGUGUGUUCCUAGCCGGGGUCGGGGGAGCUGGUAUCUUGGCCCUUCUGGGAGGACGCGCACAGCCCGAGGAGGAAGAGCCAAGGACCCCAGGGAGAAGAGAAAGGAGUUCAUGAAGGCAGAAAUGCCUGGGGCCCACGAACAUCCCAGUGUGGCCCUGGACGGGACAUCAUGCUGGGCAACACAGCUAAAAUGCGGGUGAAGACCAGAUUUCUUGCACAUGGCGGUGACGGGAUGCUCCCUAGAGAGCUUCAAGUGGAUUCUUUGCUUUUUAUUUUCUCUCUUAAUAAAAAUGUAUGAUGUUUACAUUGUCAGAG